AGCAUACUAUUUCCUUGAUUUGAAGUUAAUGUUCACUAACAGGAAUGCCACAAAUAGAGAACAUUCAAAAGUCGUUCAAUAGAAAAUGCAAAACAAUUCAUUCAAACGUUACGACAAUUUGAUUACAUUAACAGUACACCACCUAAUUAACACCUUUUUUUUUUUUGCUUUCUCCUCGUCAUCCAAAUCUCGUUUCCCUUUGCGAAGUGUUAUAUUGAGAAAAGUCUCCAAAUGGUCAUUUUCAUCGGCUACAUUAACACAUUUUUAGAACACACUUAACGGGGUCCAUAAUUGGAUCGUUGAACUUAUAUGAUCCUAAAGAAGAGCCACUUGAUUCACCUUCGUAAUGCACUAUCCCAUCGUCAUAUGGCAAAACAUCAGACCACUUGAAAUGCCUACAGUUAUGAGUACAGCAAUGGAAUAGUCGUCCUUUGUUUUCACUAUUUUUUUCCACCUCGUCACAUUUCGGGCAUCUUCUCUUUCUCGAACAUUCCGACAACAAGUGACCCAACUUUUUCUGCAGCUAUGUCAUAUGCCUCUAUUCCUUCCUGCCAUGGCGCAACUUCUAGCGUACAGUGCAAUUCAAGAAGCCCAAAGUCAGAAUUCGAUCUCCAUAAAAUAGAGUGCGAGUGCAACUGAAC
rnacentral:lncRNA from 1 species